GCCCUUAGAGUUUGAUCCUGGCUCAGAUUGAACGCUGGCGGCAUGCCUAACACAUGCAAGUCGAACGGUAACAGGAACUAGCUUGCUAGUUUGCUGACGAGUGGCGGACGGGUGAGUAACACGUAGGAAUCUGCCUUGCAGCGGGGGAUAGCCCGGGGAAACUCGGAUUAAUACCGCAUACGCUCUACGGAGGAAAGUGGGCCUUUUCUUGAAAGCUCACACUGCAGGAUGAGCCUACGUCCGAUUAGCUUGUUGGUGGGGUAAAAGCCUACCAAGGCGACGAUCGGUAGCUGGUCUGAGAGGAUGAUCAGCCACACCGGGACUGAGACACGGCCCGGACUCCUACGGGAGGCAGCAGUGGGGAAUAUUGGACAAUGGGCGCAAGCCUGAUCCAGCAAUGCCGCGUGUGUGAAGAAGGCCUGCGGGUUGUAAAGCACUUUUAUUGGGGAAGAAACGGCCUGGGCGAAUACCCCAUGGCAAUUGACGGUACCCAAGGAAUAAGCACCGGCUAACUCCGUGCCAGCAGCCGCGGUAAUACGGAGGGUGCAAGCGUUAAUCGGAAUUACUGGGCGUAAAGCGUGCGUA
rnacentral:rRNA from 1 species